UCUUAAUAGGCUGUUCACCCCAGAUGCAGGCAUCAGUCUCAGUCAGAACACAGCGUGGACAUGAGGGCCCUCACUCAGCGCCUGGGUCUCCUGCUGCUCUGGAUUCCAAGUACCAGAUGCGACAUCCAGAUGACCCAGUCUCCAUCCACUCUGUCUGCAUCUCCUGGAGACAGAGUCACCAUCAAAUGUCAGGCCACUCAGGGUGUUAGCAAUGAGUUAAGCUGGUACCAACAGAAACCAGGGAAAGCACCUAAACUCCUGAUCUAUGCUGCAAACAGGAAUCCCCUCUAGAUUUAGUGGCAGUGGACGUGGGACAGAGUUCACUCUUACCAUCAGCAGUCUGCAGCCUGAAGAUGUUGCAAGUUAUUUCUUUAUGCAUGAUUAUAAUCUCCUGCCCACAGUGAUACAAACCCUAACAUAAACCACCAGAGGAGCAGAAGUGUGAGGCUGGGCUGCCCCAGCUAUUUUCCUCAUGUGUCCACUUGCAGGAUCUGUCCUAGAAACAUAAGAUAGGAAUCCUGCCCAUGCUUACCUGGAGCAGCAGUUAUCAAGAUUCACUUAUUAGUCAAGCUGUCAUUGCCAGGAGAACACUGAAUUCAAAGGACAGCAAUCCCA